UGGGGAAUCUUGCGCAAUGGGGGAAACCCUGACGCAGCGACGCCGCGUGAGUGAUGAAGGCCUUCGGGUUGUAAAGCUCUGUGGAGAGGGACGAAUAAGUGCAGUCGAAUAGGCUGCAUGAUGACGGUACCUUUUAGCAAGCACCGGCUAACUCUGUGCCAGCAGCCGCGGUAAUACAGAGGGUGCAAACGUUGUUCGGAUUUACUGGGCGUAAAGCGCGUGUAGGCUGCUUGGAAAGUCGGAUGUGAAA
rnacentral:rRNA from 1 species